ensembl:lncRNA
CACAUUGUUAUCUGCAAGUCCUUCGCAGAUGUAGAGAACGGACUGCAGAGUUAAUAAACGUCGAAGGGAAGCUUUGAUGCGCCCCUGUUGGCCCUGAGAGAUGCCGCGUGAGCGUCAUUUUAAAUCCUGUACCUGUACUGGACGUGGAAACCUGAAAUUAAUUUCAGUAGCAAGCUUUGUGAAUUGUAGGGCUUUUUUUUAUUAGGUGUCUUUUUUGUAACUGCUCCUCCCCUCCCCCACCCUUUGUUUUGGCUGUAGAACACAUCCCAGCAGUCUCCCCAUGCAAUAUUCAGUCAGGCGAAGUUGCGUUCUUACGUUAUCUGUGAUGUGUAACAAAAAAGCGUUUAUCUUUGAAACACUAAGGCAAGUAAUGAGAAGAGUGAACUAUAUUUGACAAAGCCUUUUUAUUUUUGUCAUUACUUUUUCUUCCAGUGUGGAAAUAAUUUUUCUCUCCACCAACUGGAUUUUCUCUUUUGCAGACAAUUAGAGAAUUCUGUCAUCCUCACUGGGUUCUGUCUUUUCUACUGCACUUGUCCAGUACAGCUACAUAAGGAGGCUUCUCAGCAGAGGAGCCUGGGGUGUUGAACCAGUGCCAUGGGGGAAUGAAUUAUGCAAUAGAUCGCUAGUCUCCUUUCUUAAAAUUAAAGUGUGGUGACGUGCAGAAAAGCAUCUGUGUCUAAAUGGCAUCUUCAUGUUGUAGCACUCGGUUUCUUUAUGCCUUUCAGUUCCUGUGCUUCUUGAUAGACUCGAGUUUUUACUGUGUGAGCAUCCCCGUGCCGGCACAGCGAAGGACUCUCACUGGGUUCUACAUGUGCUGCACAGAUCCCUGGCACAGCGUUAACUGAACCUCAACUGCAGGAGCUUCAUUCCCGAGGAUGCUGUUACCAAGAGUAACUUGCCUCUUGAAGAAUGAGUUUGCAAAGCUGGCAGUUAGAUUGCUGAUGUCCAAAGUUCCAGAUGAACUCCGGAGCUUUGCUGGGAACGAUGAGUGGCAGUCUCUGCUGGAGACUGGAAGCUGUGAAGCCACAGGCACCUGCCCAGAAGCUGGGACAUGAGCUGGUGGUGCCUGAUCACAUUACCUACUUGACAAUUACAUUAAAUGAAUAUUUUUAAACAUUCAAAGAUGAAACGUUAAAAAUGCCAAUUAGAAUAACUUCAAAAGUUCUUAAGUCAGUGCCUGGUAGAAGGUCUAGCUUUAGAAAUUAUUCUAACCUUUCCUGUUGUAGUGGUCCAGACCGGCUCUGAGAGGUGCGCCUUCUCGCUUCUGAAUGUUCACCCUUGGGAGUAGUGGGUGCUGUCGGGGCAGCUAAUGCAGGCAAUUUUCUCUACCUGUAGAGACACAAAGAAGGAUGGAUUGAGGUGGGCGGGAGCCUAUGAGUGGAAAGGCAGGUGACUCAUCAGCUCCCCGGGAAAACGUGAUGUGUGCCAGCCAUUAAAGGUGCAUUUGCAGCAGGUGGAGAAGGCAACCUGAAUCUGCAGCUUGCAUUCAUUUCCAAGCAUGAGGGGGCGUUGACAGGAACCUCUAAACACCUUGAAGCCAUUCAUUUCAAUCUAGAAAACAAAUAGGGACAUGUAGUUCCCUGAAAAGGUAACUGCAACCUUUAGUUUCCGAUUCUUCCUUUGCCCACGUGUGAUGCAGCGACGGUGAGUGUGGGAGCGGACGUGGCUCCUUCACCUGAUGGCGCAUCACUGUGGGAACAGCCUGGGCCUGGCUCUCCUUGUGAGUGCCCAGGCAAAGCUGGAGUCAUUCUGUGGGGAGAGCAGGUGCAGGAUGGGCUUUCAGAAUCAAUCAGGCCUUCUUCCUCUGUACGUGUGCUUUUAAAAUUAUUAAUUUAUUUUUGAGACAGGGUCUCGCUCUAUAGCCCAGGC